rnacentral:rRNA from 1 species
UGGGGAAUUUUGGACAAUGGGCGAAAGCCUGAUCCAGCAAUGCCGCGUGUGUGAAGAAGGCCUUCGGGUUGUAAAGCACUUUUGUCCGGAAAGAAAUCCUUGGCUCUAAUACAGUCGGGGGAUGACGGUACCGGAAGAAUAAGCACCGGCUAACUACGUGCCAGCAGCCGCGGUAAUACGUAGGGUGCAAGCGUUAAUCGGAAUUACUGGGCGUAAAGCGUGCGCAGGCGGUUUGCUAAGACCGAUGUGAAAUCCCCGGGCUCAACCUGGGAACUGCAUUGGUGACUGGCAGGCUAGAGUAUGGCAGAGGGGGGUAGAAUUCCACGUGUAGCAGUGAAAUGCGUAGAGAUGUGGAGGAAUACCGAUGGCGAAGGCAGCCCCCUGGGCAAGUACUGACGCUCAUGCACGAAAGCGUGGGGAGCAAACAGGAUUAGAUACCCUGGUAGUCCACGCCCUAAANGAUGUCAACUAGUUGUUGGGGAUUCAUUUCCUUAGUAACGUAGCUAACGCGUGAAGUUGACCGCCUGGGGAGUACGGUCGCAAGAUU